GAUGAAGAACGUAGCGAAAUGCGAUAAGUAAUGUGAAAUGCAGAAUUCAGUGAAUCAUCGAGUUUUUGAACGCAUAUUGCGCCCUCUGGUAUUCCGGGGGGCAUGCCUGUUCGAGCGUCAUUAAAUAACCCUCAAGCAUAGCUUGGUGUUGGGCUUUUUUACGUCCUUGACUGGGAUGGGCCUAAAAAUUAGUGGCGAUGGCUUUUUUACUUUCAAGCGUAGUAAAUCUCGUCUUGCUAAAGAGGAAAAAGAUUUUUUUUCUGCCAAAAAUUUUAACAUUUAAAGUUGACCUCGGAUCAGGUAGGAUUACCCGCUGAACUUAAGCAUAUCAAUAAGCGGAGGA
rnacentral:misc_RNA from 1 species